AGAAAUAUGUCUGACGAAAGAGUUACAUUGAUAGCGUAAAUUAUAGAGGUAAAAGUCCUCUUAUUUCUA
rnacentral:tRNA from 1 species